UUGGUGUUCCGCACUACACUCAGUGGCAGCCACCUAUUUGUUGACCUGUUGCCAUCCCGCAGCAAACGCGGGAUAAAAAAAUUCUUUUUGCGGGAAAUUUAACCGGCGUAAUGAUCACACAUCUGAAUUUGCGACCAUUUUUUUACAAAAAAGUGCGAUCAUUAUGCGGGUAAAUACAGUACUCUUGUGACACCAAGCUCACUUGUUUUAAUGCAGGUGUGGCUGGGCCUGCAGAAAAGCUGUAAGCAGACUGCAGUGUUGCUGAUCAGUGCUGAUCUCCACGUCCGAGUUGGUCCCACAAUAUCCAGGCACCACGGUGCUUUCACAAGAGGCAUACGAGCACUUUGUUUCAAAAACGCCAAGCACCGUGGAUACAGAGGCAAGGAGGCUGAAGGACCUGAACAAGCACCUGGCCACCAUGCUUCGGGAUGCAAAAUAAAGAUGGUUUGUGUUAA
rnacentral:lncRNA from 1 species